CGGUGAAUACGUUCCCGGACCUUGCACACACCGCCCCGUCAAGCCAUGGAAGCUGGGUGUACCUAAAGUCGGUAACCGUAAGGAGCCGCCUAGGGUAAAACUAGUGACUGGGGCU
rnacentral:rRNA from 1 species